CCGCGGCCUGCGGCACUUCGAGGUAGGCCGUGUUGUAGCCGCGGCGGUUGAGCUUGAGCGCGGUGUGCGCGUCCUCGGUCACCGUC
rnacentral:tRNA from 1 species